GGGGGCGUAGCUCAGAUGGUAGAGUGAACGUUUAGCAUGCGAGAGGUACGGGGAUCGAUAUCCCGCGCCUCCG